AAUUAAUGAUGUGACAAUGUGGACACAUCUGUCAUCAGGGUUGAUUCUGCAGAUCUGGCUAGUUUACUGGGAAUCCUCUUCCUUCCUAUGAGACUGAGUGCUCCUUUAAAGAGGAUGAGAGGAAGGAGGACAUUCUUCUGUGAAGGGCAGAUGUGUAGUUGCAGUCCCUGCUAGAACCUCCAAACAAGCUCUCAAGAUCCAUUUGUAGUACACAAGGUAGUCAAGUUUCUAAGACUCCAGACUUAUGUACCAAAAUGAAAUAUACGU
ensembl:misc_RNA predicted gene, 25435